CUUUUUUUAAAAAGGUUUUUUUAUAAUUUGAAAACCGAGUAACAAGAAGCGCAGGAGGACCGAGCCUCAGCUCGCCGAAUCGGAUCACCUCGAUCUCGACCUCUCCAAUGAUAUCAAAGGGAUUAUGUCGGCACUGCACCAGAUCCAAGAGAAAGCUCACAAGGACGGGCUUAAGAAGAACGAAGAGACCAUUUCAAGUGUGAGAAUUGCUUGAGACUGAAACUGCCAAGUUCCAAGGACUCUAUGAGAAGUUCUGCAAGGACCAAGCCAACCAUCUACAGGCCUUGAAAGGCAUCAUUUCCAACUAUGAAGAAGAGAAUUGAAGGCUCUGCACAUGAUAUGAACAACUGAGAAAGAUAAAAAGGAGUCUGAUGAUGAGAAAGCCUGUACUGAUAAAAUUGCUAAACUGGAAGAGUCCUUGAAAAGGAAGAAGCAGGAUGACAGAACUUUCAGCGUUCUGAGAAAGACUCUUGGCUCAUUUACGAAGAACCUUGUCUAUACAUGGGGGAAACUUCAUUUCCCUGGUUUUUAUUUUUAUUUUUGGAGAGGAGUGUUGGGAUCAGUUUGUAUGAUAAAUGGUAAACUGUUCUCAGGAAUUUAUUCAUUUCCCAUGAAAUCCAGAUUAAUCCCAGAUGUUUGUAUAAGAUGAGAUAUCACGACGGUCACCAUCGUCUAUUUUGUGUUGUGGUUUAACUAUUUUGUAGUAGUGGGUCUACUCCUAAAAA